GGGUGCUUAGCUCAGCUGGUAGAGCGGCGCCCUUACAAGGCGUAGGUCGGGGGUUCGAACCCCUCAGCACCCA
rfam:Burkholderia latens strain AT17928 chromosome 1, complete sequence.